rnacentral:lncRNA from 1 species
AAUACUUCCUAUUAUUUCAUUUUCAUCUUUAUUAAAAUCCUUUGGUAUUUACAGAUGAAAAAUGAAGUAGGGACAUUCCUAGACUUUGACUUCAAUAUAGGUUUUCUAAUUUUUUCUUCAGUCAUCUUCAGGAGACAGCCUAAUUAGUGGAAAGAAAAUUAGUUUUAGGGUUAGUUUUACUACAGUAAAUAUGUUACCUCAGCAAAUGACUUGUUUGACACUAUAAACAGUGCUUAUCUUAGAGUUUUGGUAUUAAGUGAAUGAAUUUCAAAGUAUGGCACAUUUUAGUAUUUUUCCUCAGUAUAAUUUAUACUGUAUGGUGCUUUCUCACAAAAGGUUAGAAAAGACAUGCUGUCCUUGAAUAAUUCAAGACAUGACUUUUAAUAAAUAUUGAAGUUUGAACUUGCCAUAUUUAUAAGAUACUGAGGCUAUUUAUUUAAAUUUAAAAGACUUUAGUUUUAAAAAUAUAAUGGUUCAGAUUUCAUGGGGCAACUUAAUAACUGACUUUCUUUUUUUUAAAAAAAAAAAAGCUUUAUUAAGAUAAAAUUUACAUACCCCUUUAUAGUAUGUGGCUCAUUGGUUUUUAGUGUGUUUGCAGAGUUGUGCAAACUAUCACCACAAUCGAUUUUAGAUUUUUACUGCCCCAUAAGGAACUCCAUAUCCACUAACAUUCACUUCCUGUUUCCCACCACUCUCCUGUUCCCAGCUGUAGGCAACCAUCAGUCUUAUUUUCUGUCUCUUCAGUUAGCUUAUUUUGAAUAUUUUAUAUACAUUGGAUUGUACCAAACAUGGUCCUUUGUACCUGGUGUUUCAUUUAGCAAGGUUCAUCCAUAUUGUAACAUGUAUCAGUACUUUAUUUCCUUUUCUGUCCAAGUCAUAAUCUGUUGUAUGGAUAUGCUGCAUUUUGAUGGGCAUUUGGGUUUCUACUUUUUGGCUGUUACAAAUAAUGUUAUAGACAUUUUCUUGUGGACAUGUGUUUUUAUUUUCCUUGGGCAUUUACAUUGCGAUGGAAUUGUGGUAUUAUAGGGUCUCUAUAUUUACUUUUUGAGAACUGUCAAGACCUAUUAUUAUUAUUAUUAUUAUUAUUAUUAUUAUUUUUGGUACUGAGGAUUGAACUUAGCCACUGAACCAAAUCAUCCCUUUUUUAUAUUUUACUUAGAGACAGGGUGUCAUUUUUUAGGGUCUCUCUAAGUUGCUGAGACUGGCUUUGAACUCAAAAACCUCCUGUCUCAGCCUCCUGGCCUGCCAGAUUGUUUUUUAAAAUGGGAACACUAUUUUGCAUUUCUCCCAAUAGUAUUUGCAAGUUUCAAUUUUUCCACAUCCUUGUCAACAUUCAUUGGUGUCUUGUCAUUAUUAGCAGAGUCAUCAUAGUGGUAUGAAGAGAUGUUUCAUUGUUCUGUUGAUUUUCAUUUUACUUUUGGCUAAUGAUAUUGAGCCUUCUUUCAUAUUUUCAUUCACCAUUUGGAAAUCUUAUUUGGAAAAUGUUAGUUCAUUUUUCAUUCAUUUUAUUCAUUAUUCAUGGUACAUUAUUUAAUUGGGUUGUCUUUUUAUUGUUGAGUUGUAGAAAUUCUUUAUGUAUUUUAGAAACAAGUCCUUUCUCCUUAUAACUGAAUAAAGUCUUUUUCCUUCUUAAAGCUCAUUUUUCAUUUGUGCAGUUUGUGGACUACUGACAAUCAGUCCUAAGUACUUAUAAACUAAACACUUUGAAACUUCUCUAAUCCACUGUGAUAGCCUCUUCUCUUUUAACUGAAAUUGGGAACAUAAAGACUGUAAGAUGUAUGAAAAAGGCCUCAAAUAUAGCUUGCAAUUAGAAAGAUUCUUGCUGUAAAAAAGCACAUGAGUUAUAAAAGUUACACAAACAACAGAACCUAGGAGCUCACUAUUCCAUUAACUGAUUAAAGAUCUUUAUACAUCAGUCUGUUAAGCAGUCUAAGUCCCUGAACAACCUAGGAACACAUCUGUACAUUCUGGCCACCUAUGGGAAGCUUUCAGAAGAUCUUAAUUAGGAAAGCUAAUCUUUCCCACAAAACAAAGUGGUAGACUUCUGAGUUAUCUUUUGCAAAUGGACAAACAAAGCACCAUUCAAUACAAGAGAUCCAAGAUGCUAAGAUGUUUAGAUACCUAUAUUUAAGUAAGUAUUAUAUGUGCACAAACAUAUGCUUACUAUGCAACUGAAUUGUUCAUAUACACAGUGUUCACUUAAAUUGUUUUGACAUCUUCUUUUAAAUUGUUUUAAUUGUUAAUAUGACAUCUUUAUUUAAAUUGUUUCUCUAGCUUCUUUCAGGCCUUCCAGAUAUUUAGUCAAUUUUAUUUUAUUCCUGUUAAAAUUAAAAGUUCAAUAUUUAAACAAAAAAAAUUUAUUUAAUGAUUUCUUUGUUUAUUGUAAUGGUUUUCAACUAAGGGCAGUUUUGUCCCCCAGGAAGCAAAGUCUAGGGACAUGUUUUGGUUGUUACAACUGCAGUUUUCGCUGUGUGACUUAAUAAUGGUAAGGAUAAAGUGUUGCUACUAGUUAGUAAACCUCACUGCAGCAGGGACUGUGUUUUGUCUACUGUAGUAUCCACAGGGCCUAACAGAACGCUAGCAACAUAUUAUGUACAGCAGUUUCUUUACAAGUUAAAAAUUGUGCAGAACAUAUUAAUGUUUCUUAGAAGUUUUGCUAUAUGUUAUUAGAGUUUAAGGCAAGAAACUCUAAAGACAAAGAAGCUUUUAAAAAGAAGCUAAACUAAAGAAGACUUUAAAAUAAUGCAAAAUAGUUGACAAAUGUCUCAAUAAGAAUUUCCAGAAUAUUUUUGAGUUUGCUGAAGUAUAUUAUAGAACAUCCGUAAUAUGAUGACAGAAUCAAAUGGGAGAGAAAACAUGACAGGGAACUCCUCUCUGUGGUCUCCUUUGCCCCCCACCAAGAGAGCUACUGGGAAGAGAGCCCUUCCAGGGCACCUUUUGGCUUUCCCCUUGAGGAUAGGGCUCUUGUGUUGAUGCUCCUUAAUUGAGAUGAAAUUAACAUACUAUAAAAUUAACUAUUGAGAUGGCAUAUGAUACAUUCAUAUAGCUAUCACCUUUGCCUAACAUUUAAAAUAAAGCCUUGUGUUCAUUUAACAGAUGGUUCUACUUCCCCUUCUUCUAGCCCCUGGCAACCACCAGUCUGCUUUCUGUCCUUGUGGGAUUUUCCUGUUCCAUGAUUGAACUGGAUCUAUUAGAUAGGGAUAUGGUGUGACCAAAAAGAAAUUACUUGACUUUAGAGGCCUAGGAAGUACUGGGACUCAGAGUUAUAUCUCUUUUUAAAUAUAAUUCUACUUCUUUUUUUUUUUUUUUUAAUUUUUUAUUGUUGGUUGUUCAAAACAUUACAAAUUUCUUGAUAUAUCAUAUUUCACACUUUGAUUCAAGUGGGUUAUGAACUCCCAUUUUUGCCCCAUAUACAGAUUGCAGAAUUACAUCAGUUACACAUCCAUUGAUUUACAUAUUGCCAUACUAGUGUCUGUUGUGUUCUGCUGCCUUUCCUAUCCUCUACUAUCCCCCCUCCCCUCCCCUCCCCUUUCCUCCCCUCUUCUCUCUCUACCCCCCUCUACUGUCAUUCAUUUCUCCCCCUUGUAUUAUUUUUCCCUUUCCCCUCACUUCCUCUUGUAUGUACUUUUGUAUAACCCUGAGGGUCUCCUUCCAUUUCCAUGCAAUUUCCCCUUCUCUCUCCCUUUCCCUCCCACCUCUCAUCCCUGUUUAAUGUUAAUCUUCUUCAUAAUUCUACUUCUUAAAGAGCAUUUCAAACACUUUGUAAACAUGGUAUUUAAUUUUAAACUUCAUAAUUCUUAAUUCUUCCUUCUCACAACUGCAGAAAACAUAGUAACUAUAUUGGGGGUUACCUGUAAUAUUCAGGAAUGUGUUCUUUGCAUAUAAGUAGGAAUUACUCAGCCACUACAUGGUUGACAUCUGAUGCCAGAUAAUUCUUUGUUCUGGGGAAAUGUUAUGUGCAUUGUAGAAGGCUUAGCAUCAUCUUUGGCUUUUUCCUACCAGGUACCAGUAGCAGCCUUUUCUCCUCCCCCCAGUUGUGAUAAUCAAAAUGUUUCUAGACAGUACAGAUGUCCUUUCCAGGGCAGAAUUAUUCCUGGUUGACAAAUACUGCAUUAAAGUUAUUCUUCUUGAGAAUCUGGAUUUUUCUUUCAGUAGAAAGAGAUUGUGAAUAUAGUACAUAUUAGAAAUAGUCAUUAGAGAGUGAAAUGGAGAAUUGUUAAAUCACCUGUGGAGCUUGUCAAUCACUGACUUUUAUAAUCAUCCCCCAAACCCCAAACUGCUCCUGUUUUAAAAAAAAAAUUAGUUUUAAAUUUUGAAUUUGUCAGUACUCAGCUGUUUGAUUAUGUAAGGGUCAUUCCUUGUUUGGUUAUGCUGUGCUAAAGGAAUUCAACUUGAUUGCCUAACAGGAAGUAAUUUCAUAGAAAAAAUAAUGAAUUUGAGUUUGUUCAGAAAUACUGAAAACAUUCAAAUUAUUUUAAAGUACAAUGAAUAAUACAUUCAACAGUUGAGGAAAAGAGGGAGGAAUUUUUUUACAUAAAUUUUCCUUUUUUGAUGCCAAAAGAACUUAAGACAACUAUUUUCUGUAAUACUACUCAACUUCCUGAUAACAAAAUAAAUUCUCCUUUUUUAUGCUUCC